GGCGGCGUGCCUAACACAUGCAAGUCGAGCGAGGAGAGUCCCUCGGGAUGAACUAGCGGCGGACGGGUGAGUAACACGUGGGCAACCUGCCUUAUAGAGGGGAAUAGCCUUCCGAAAGGAAGAUUAAUACCGCAUAACAUUACAUUUUCGCAUGAAGAAGUAAUUAAAGGAGUAAUCCGCUAUAAGAUGGGCCCGCGGCGCAUUAGCUAGUUGGUGAGGUAACGGCUCACCAAGGCGACGAUGCGUAGCCGACCUGAGAGGGUGAUCGGCCACAUUGGGACUGAGACACGGCCCAGACUCCUACGGGAGGCAGCAGUGGGGAAUAUUGCACAAUGGGGGAAACCCUGAUGCAGCAACGCCGCGUGAGUGAUGAAGGUCUUCGGAUCGUAAAGCUCUGUCUUCAGGGACGAUAAUGACGGUACCUGAGGAGGAAGCCACGGCUAACUACGUGCCAGCCGCGGC
rnacentral:rRNA from 1 species